rnacentral:tRNA from 1 species
UGUCAAGGGAUAGGAAUCGAACCCACGACCUUCCGCUUACCGGGCAGAUGCCAUGACCAAUGGCUACCCUGGAC